AGGUCAGGACAGAUGGCAAAGCGCUUU
rnacentral:misc_RNA from 1 species